rnacentral:tRNA from 1 species
GGCUCCAUAGUUAAAUGGCUGAUAAUACUGCCCUGUCACGGCAGAGUUAUGGGUUUGAUUCCCGUUGGAGCCACCA